GAUGAACGCUGGCGGCGUGCCUAAUACAUGCAAGUCGAGCGAACGGACGAGAAGCUUGCUUCUCUGAUGUUAGCGGCGGACGGGUGAGUAACACGUGGAUAACCUACCUAUAAGACUGGGAUAACUUCGGGAAACCGGAGCUAAUACCGGAUAAUAUUUUGAACCGCAUGGUUCAAAAGUGAAAGACGGUCUUGCUGUCACUUAUAGAUGGAUCCGCGCUGCAUUAGCUAGUUGGUAAGGUAACGGCUUACCAAGGCAACGAUGCAUAGCCGACCUGAGAGGGUGAUCGGCCACACGGGAACGGAGACCCGGUCCAGACUCCUACGGGAGGCAGCAGUAGGGAAUCUUCCGCAAUGGGCGAAAGCCUGACGGAGCAACGCCGCGUGAGUGAUGAAGGUCUUCGGAUCGUAAAACUCUGUUAUUAGGGAAGAACAUAUGUGUAAGUAACUGUGCACAUCUUGACGGUACCUAAUCAGAAAGCCACGGCUAACUACGUG
rnacentral:rRNA from 1 species